GGGUUGUAGCCCAUAUGGAAAAGAAUUAGGCUGGGAGGGAGAGGGGUUAGGUUUUUUCUUUGGCAUUUGGGGGCUGAGUGAAAUUGGGGGUGAGAAGACAAGAGAAAGGAGAAGCAGGAAAGGAAAGUGCGAAGGUGAGAAGAUGGAGAGGAACGAACGGCUUCUCCUUCGUUUCGCAGCGGAAACAACGCCGGAACUGCUCCGAUUAGGGUCUGUGAUGAUGCCUUAUUUUGCGUCUUCGUCAUUCUCCUUCCCUAACGAUGGUUUUGUGUCAUGAAGAGUGAUUCUGAACCGAGAAAAUGAUGAAAUCCCCACUCUGGUACCCUUUCUUCUCUUUCGGCGAGAGUGGAUGCAUACACCAACAGAGGAUGCUAUGGUUUAGCGGAUUGCCUUGGUUAUAAAAGUCGGGAUAAAGCAGCGGUAUCGACGAUAACAAAAGGGAUUUGGAAUAAUGUUGGAUUGAGUGUUGAUUUGCCUUA